GCGGAGGAGAAGAAGCUGAAGCUGAGCCACACGCUGCUGCCCGCCGAGUCCAUGAAGGUGAUGGCGGAGGCCAUGGGGGUGCCGGGGGUCCCUGAGGAGACGUGCCAGCUGCUGGCGGAGGAGGCGAGCUAUCGCCUCAAGGAGGUGGCGCAGGAUGCUCUCAAGUUCAUGCACAUGGGGAAGAGGAGGAAACUCACGACGGGGGACGUGGAUUUUGCCCUAAAACUGAAAAAUGUGGAGCCCCUGUACGGGUUCCACGCCCAGGAGUUCAUCC